CAGAACGAACGCUGGCGGCAUGCCUAAUACAUGCAAGUCGAACGAACACUUCGGUGUUAGUGGCGCACGGGUGCGUAACGCGUGGGAAUCUGCCCUUGGGUUCGGAAUAACAGUUGGAAACGACUGCUAAUACCGGAUGAUAUCGAAAGAUCGAAGAUUUAUCGCCCAGGGAUGAGCCCGCGUAGGAUUAGCUAGUUGG
rnacentral:rRNA from 1 species